GUGGGGUUGUUGCUCAGUGGUAGAGCGUUAGCCUAGUAUGUGUAAGGCCCUGGGUUUGAUCCUCAGCACCACA
rnacentral:tRNA from 1 species